rnacentral:rRNA from 1 species
UGGGGAAUAUUGGACAAUGGGCGAAAUCCUGAUCCAGCCAUGCCGCGUGUGUGAAGAAGGUCUUCGGAUUGUAAAGCACUUUAAGUUGGGAGGAAGGGCAGUAAGCGAAUACCUUGCUGUUUUGACGUUACCGACAGAAUAAGCACCGGCUAACUCUGUGCCAGCAGCCGCGGUAAUACAGAGGGUGCAAGCGUUAAUCGGAAUUACUGGGCGUAAAGCGCGCGUAGGUGGUUCGUUAAGUUGAAUGUGAAAGCCCCGGGCUCAACCUGGGAACUGCAUCCAAAACUGGCGAGCUAGAGUAGGGCAGAGGGUGGUGGAAUUUCCUGUGUAGCGGUGAAAUGCGUAGAUAUAGGAAGGAACACCAGUGGCGAAGGCGACCACCUGGGCUCAUACUGACACUGAGGUGCGAAAGCGUGGGGAGCAAACAGG